AGUCGAACGAAGAAGCAAGCUUGCUUGCUUCUUAGUGGCGAACGGGUGAGUAAUACAUAAAUAAUCUACCAUAAUGACUGGGAUAACCAAUGGAAACGUUGGCUAAUACCGGAUAGGUAAAACGAGGGCAUCUUUGUUUUAUUAAAGUAGGGCAACUACACAAUAUGAUGAGUUUAUGGCGCAUUAGCUAGUUGGAGAGGUAACGGCUCACCAGGGCGAUGAUGCGUAGCCGACCUGAGAGGGUGACCGGCCACACUGGGACUGAGACACGGCCCAGACUCCUGCGGGAGGCAGCAGUAGGGAAUUUUCGGCAAUGGGCGCAAGCCUGACCGAGCAACGCCGCGUGAGUGAAGAAGGCCUUCGGGUUGUAAAGCUCUGUUGUAAGGGAAGAACACUUUUUAGAGGAAAUGCUAGGAAGCUGACGGUACCUUACCAGAAAGCCACGGCUAACUACGUGCCAGCAGCCGCGGUAAUACGUAGGUGGCGAGCGUUAUCCGGAAUUAUUGGGCGUAAAGGGUGCGUAGGCGGUUUAUUAAGUCUGUGGUGAAAGUGCGGGGCUCAACCCCGUAUGGCCACAGAAACUGAUCGACUAGAGUACAGGAGAGGGCAGUGGAAUUCCAUGUGUAGCGGUAAAAUGCGUAGAUAUAUGGAGGAACACCGGUGGCGAAGGCGGCUGCCUGGCCUGUAACUGACGCUGAGGCACGAAAGCGUGGGGAGCAAAUAGGAUUAGAUACCCUAGUAGUCCACGCUGUAAACGAUGAUUACUAAGUGUUGGAGAAAUUCAGUGCUGCAGUUAACGCAAUAAGUAAUCCGCCUGGGGAGUAUGCACGCAAGUGUGAAACUCANGGAAUUGACGGGACCCCGCACAAGCGGUGGAGUAUGUGGUUUAAUUCGAAGCAACGCGANAACCUUACCAG
rnacentral:rRNA from 1 species